rnacentral:rRNA from 1 species
AGAGGGGGCAAGCGUUGUCCGGACUUACUGGGUGUAAAGCGCAUGCAGGUGGCCUGGCAAGUGUGCUGUGAAAGCCCCGUGCUUAACACGGGGAGGCCAGUACAGACUGCCAAGCUCGAGGACUGCAGAGGGUAGGGGAAUUGCUGGUGCAGUGGUGAAAUGCGUAGAGAUCAGCAGGAACACCAAGGACGAAGGUACCUACCUGGGCAGUAUCUGACACUCAAGUGCGACAGCGUGGGGAGCGAACCGGAUUAGAUACCCGGGUAGUCCACGCCGUAAACGAUGGAUGCUCGGCGUUUGGGGGGGAAACCUCCUGGGCGCCUCAGCUGACGCGGAAGCAUCCCACCUGGGAACUACGAGCGCAAGCUUA